rnacentral:rRNA from 1 species
GAAAUCUACUGGCUUAACCAGUAGGCGUCCGGCGAAAACUGUUCGGCUUGGGACCGGGAGACCAGAGGGGUACGUCCGGGGUAGGAGUGAAAUCCCGUAAUCCUGGACGGACCACCGGUGGCGAAAGCGCCUCUGGAGAACGGAUCCGACAGUGAGGGACGAAAGCUAGGGUCUCGAACCGGAUUAGAUACCCGGGUAGCCCUAGCCGUAAACGAUGCUCGCUAGGUGUGGCGCAGGCUACGAGCCUGCGCUGUGCCGUAGGGAAGCCGUGAAGCGAGCCGCCUGGGAAGUACGUCUGCAAGGAUGAAACUUAAAGGAAUUGGCGGGGGAGCACUACAACCGGAGGAGCCUGCGGUUUAAUUGGACUCAACGCCGGACAUCUCACCAGCUCCGACAGCAGUCAUGACGGUCAGGUUGAUGACCUUACUCGACGCUGCUGAGAGGAGGUGCAUGGCCGCCGUCAGCUCGUGUCGUGAGAUGUUGGGUUAAGUCCCGUAACGAGCGCAACCCCCGUGAUGUGUUGCCAGCAUUAAGUUGGGGACUCACAUCAGACUGCCGGUGACAAACCGGAGGAAGGUGGGGAUGACGUCAAGUCAUCAUGGCCCUUACGUCCAGGGCUAGAAACGUGCUACAAUGGCGUACACAAAGGGAAGCAAGACCGCAAGGUGGAGCGAAUCUCACCAAAGUACGUCUAAGUUCGGAUCGCAGUCUGCAACCCGACUGCGUGAAGGUGGAGUUGCUAGUAAUC